CCAAUAUCCAACAACAGCCCACAAUCCAAUCUAUUUACCCAAUUACCCAACCCAAAUCUGAGAUUCAAUCCCAGGGCUUGCUCAGUGUUAUUAAUCGUCGCCUCGACGGCCUCGUCUAUGCAAGACUGCAACUCCAGUCACUCACACUCACACCUCACACUCACACUCACACUCACACUGCCAGUUCGCCUCCAUUGAGUCCGCCCGUACGCCGCCGGUCGCCUCCAGGAUCCGCCGCUCCAGCAACUUGUCUAGUAUUAGUAACUAUAGUUGUCUCCAUUCUUCGGUUCAUUUCUAAAAAUUUUCCAUUGAUUUGAUGAAUUUUAUCAACUGAUAUAUAUAUAUAUAUAUUGUUAGAUCUGUAGAAUUUAAUAGAUUUUAGAUUUUUAGUGGUGACCUCAUCUGGUUCCUAUGGAACACGAAAACUGGGAAGGAAAAUGAAGAGUCAAAUGCUCAAAUAUAAAAGUGCACUGUCUUCUCUUCUGGGAAACUAGCGAAUUAGGCAGGCUUGUAUAUAAUUCAUCAGAUUGUCUAUAUUUUGGCAUGAUUACCAUUUACCAGCUGGACACCAUGAUCUGUUACUUCAUUUCAAACCAUAUUUUAUCCAUUGUUUUGUUCAUAAAUUUGUAUUUACCUGAGGCACGUUAAGACACAUUUAUGAAAUUCUUUUGUAAAUGUAUGAUCGUCAAAUCAUAUGCGGAUCUAUUACAGUAUUAAUUGAAGGAAUUGAAUCAAUUGAUUUGGAUAACUUCUUAUAAUGUGAAAAUGGCCUAAAUUUAAUUUUAUGUAAAUUUGAUAAUGUGUAAGUUAAAGUAUCAUAAUGAUUAUUUAGAAAUAAAGAGCGCAAUAAAUUUUGUGUCAUAUCACAAAUAUAAUGUGACCUUAAGUAGUGUAUAAAUAUUUUCUAUAAUAUAUUUGGUUGUUGUUUUAAUGUUAGGUUUUAUCUAACAAUAAGUCGCAUAAUAUACUGUUGAAUUUUACAUUUACGUUGAUUUCGCUGGGGGCCCAAUUUAUGGAAUUCGCCUAAGGUCCUAACAAUCGCAAGGCUAGCCUUGCUAAAACCCCGAAUUUCUUUUUCGAAACUAACUUCAAAAGCCAUUUGUUUUUCUUCAUCUUACCUAAAGUAGGCUUUUCAGAACCCAAUUAGCAAAAAUCCCAGAUUUUCUGGCGCAGGAAGAUUCUGCACAAUUCGACUUGUUGAAACAGAAGAUUUUGUCAUGGGUUUAUUUUAUAGGUGUUGCAGGAGUUGUAGCUUAUGUUCUUAAUGUGGCAUGGAUUGAUGGCUCCACUGGAUUUGGUAAACCCUUCAUUGAUGCUGUUUGGAGCAUUUCCGAGAGCCCUAAGGUUGAAUUUAGACACUGUUUGGUUCAGAUUGGUUCAACUUGUCUUGAUGAAAACUGAUAAAUUGGUUUUCUUUGAUACAAACAUGUCCAUCAUUUAUAAGUUGAAUUAGAUUUUUAUUCAAGUAGUCAUAAGCAUGUCGUAAUUAUCUUUACCAAACUGGCAGUUGAAGUACAAAUUUGAUAUGGGUUUGAAGCCUAAGUUCACACAUUUGUCUGGAGGUUUCUAAAGAACUGGAGUGCUGAUAGUUGGAGAUGAUCGAAUUAGAUGAAAAGAGAAGCUUGUUGCAUUCAGGUUAGUUGUUCCACUUAUGUCCACCUUACAAAGAAUUGAAAUAGGUAGUUUUAGUGUUUGAUUAAAUGCAUGUGAAAAAAAAUUCACUUUUAUAUGCUCUUGCAAUUAGUACUUGAAUGAUUAUAGGUAUGAUCUACAAACAUGGAGAUCUUAUAUUAACAUAAUAAUGAAGGCGUAUUAUCUUAUAAGAUGUAAAAGGAUACAGCAGAGAGCCAUGGAAAGGGAGCUAAUGACACAGUGUCUCGUCUUUUACCACAAACCCCUCCAAUUUCUGCAGCAGACGCUCUGCUCUUUGGUUAUGAUUCUGCGAGGCUGAUAAAUCAAAAAUGUAGUCGCAGGAAUUGUACCCCGUCGCGAUCAAUACAACUUGGUUUAGCUGAUUUAGUAAAAGUAUUGAGUUAAAAAAUGGCAGUACCUGUGGAGUAGAAAUAAAUAUUAAUUUUUUUAAGUUAUGGAAACGAAAAUAAUAUGCAGGAAUUAGAGGGUACAAACCUAAAGGAGGAAUUACAUUGGAGAGGAACUUGGAGAAGGAGAGUGGUAUUGAUGGAGUUCUAGAAAAAUGGGUUUGGUGUCGAUUAGCUCCAUCAAUAGACUAACAUCAUCUGAAACAUGUAAAAGAUGUUAGUUGAUACUUUUGUAAUGUAGAUACAUAUAUACAUAAUUAUACAUGAGUGUACAGAAAGAAGAAGGGACCUGUGUAAAGCUUAGAUGCGGCUGGAGUUUUCUUCUUUGUUGUCUGUAACUUUAAUAGGAUUCUGGGACUCUACACUGUGGUUUAAACACAGAAAUUAAUUAAUAUCCAGUCCAAUAUCUUAAAAAACAAAUCUUAAGUGCUAAUUCCACCUUAAAUACCAGUAAACUGUAGGGAAUACUUCUUGAAAUAAUAUUUUGUUUUUAUAGCAUGCUUUCAACUAGAAUUACCUCUUAAUACAACCAAAAUAACUUUAGCUAACUUGAAAUAAUAUUUAGAAAAAAAAAAAAGAGAAAUAAAAAAAUUUGAAGUCAUAACAAUAAACAUAUAUCUCUAAUCUUUGAAGUAUUCUUGGCCAAAAAGUAGGAAAAGUUUUGAGUCCACUUACAAAAUUAUUUUAUUGGGAUAUUGUGUUGUUAAAAAUGAGUUUGCAAAAAAGUGAUUUUCAAUAUCAAAAUCAAACAAUGGUUAAAUUUGUGAAAUAAUCCUGUUAUACAAUGUCUAUCAGUCAACAUUUUUUGAUUUUAUCAAUUCUAUGUGUUUUACUUUGUCUUGUUUAUAUUGAGAAGAAGUCCAUGGACUUCUCAACUUUAUCAGAAUUCUAAGUUGGUCUCCUUUAAUUAUAUUCUAUUCAUUUUAUUUGAAAUUCUUUUGGAUUAAAAUGGUAGAAGAAAUGUUGUUUCUUAGGAAUCUCAUCAAUGAGCAUGCUGGCGUGUGCUAUUUAGGGAAAGAAUGUAUCUGAUUGAAAUCUUUGUCGUGAGGCAAAUGUGUGAAGUGACUUGUUACAUAAUUAGUCUAAAAUGCAUUUAAAAAAUUAAUGCAAUUUAUAAGUAAAUAGGUGAAAAUGACAGGUUUAUAUCUUUUUGAUACUUCUCCGUCGUGAAUUUCCUAUAGAAGGCUGGCUUUUUAUCCCUUUGCGAGUGUUUACCAAAGCAAAUGGGAGAUCCACCUGAAACCAUUCCUUUUCCGCUUAAGUUCCAGCGACUAGAUUCGUUACGGUUAAUAUAAGGCUAGUUUUUAUUUUAUUUUAUUUUCCCCCUCCCUUAAAAAUUGUUUAAAUCUUAUUAUUUAAGAUUUCAUUCCUUAGAGUUGUUAAACUUUUGAAAUUAAAUCACCAAAUGCAUGCAAGUCUUUUUCCAACUUCCUUUAAUCUUAAAGUAACUCUGACCAGAACAUUACUCUUCCUUGGUGUUCUCUGGGUCUGUAUUUUUUGUUAUUUGUUGCAGCUAUUAUACCUUAUCCCUUGGUUAUGAGUUUUUCCUUUUUGUUUUUCCAGGUGAGCUUGAAUAAAACAAGCGUUGUUUUAUUCUACACUGUCUUCGCAUCCUCCUCUUCCGGGUAAAUUUUUUCUUUUUGUCUCCUAACACAAUUUUUUGUCAACUUUCUUCUAUAAUCGAUUAAUUUCUUUGCUAAUAAUUUGUGCUUCAAAUUGAAAGAAACAACCCAAAUUCAAAAACUGACUGGUUAUGUUGGGUUGUUUGUGUCAGAUUCAUGGAAACCAUUUGCCUCCAUCUCAUCCAAACUCAAUUUUCCCGAUAAAUUCUGGUAGCAUGAUUCAUAAUUGUCCCCUUUUUACACUCCUCCAAAAUUAUUUAUCUUGUAUUAUAUAUUGGAGAAUUUGUUAAUAGGUUUCUGAAAUUCUAUGUUAAUUGGUCGAAAAAUCAACUGUGCAGGUGACGUGAGGCGGAAUUAAUUAUACUGCUUUAUGUUAAGUUAUAUUUUAUGAGUUUCUCAAAUGUGAGAAUCAUGUUAAUUUUCUAUUGGUUUAUGUUUCUUUACAUUUGGUAUUGUUAGAUGAGGCUUAUUGAGCGGUUGCCGGAAGCUGUUCACAGUUAAGUGCAUUCGAGGAUUGAGAUAUGUGAUUUGACCCGGAUUGUGGAAGAGCUGGUGUUUAACAGUCUUGGCAUGGGUGCUACCAAGGUAAAUGUUUCAUACUAUAAAUUUUUGAUGUAUAUGUUCCAGUUCGCAUAUGAUAUUGUAGUUGUCACAGAUUCAUAUUUUUUGUUGAUUUGAAUACAAACUUGAAACAAGUCAGAGGUAGAACUGUUCAGUUUUCCAAUCAUAUUUUUUAUGGAUCUGAUCAAUAUAUCUUUCCAAAUUAACACACUUGAACCAUGACGUUCAUCCACUCCUUGCACCAUGACAUUUGACGUACAUAUCCGUUCAACAACCACCAUAGGCUUAUAUUUAAAAUGCUUUUGUAGAUGAAUUUGUUGAAUCGUACUCUUCCCAUUAAAUGCUUAUGCAGAAAAAGAAAAAUAUUACUAUUUGCUGUAUGGCAUAACAAAGUAUCUUGAAAAAGUUAUUUUUGAGCAGAGAUAGCUAUAAUGAAGCUUCAUUUAUAUUCUCACGGAUUACAUGAUUAAGUGCAGAUGGUUUGACUGGGAUGCAACCACGAGCAAAGAUGAGCUUUCUUUGAGCCUAAAAUCAUCUGAGAAAGUUCUUGAGAAAUUAGAUGUUGGCCAACAAUUAGCACUGACAUUUAAGUUUUAACAAUGAGGGUACUUUUCUUGCUGUUGGGGGUGCGGUAACGAACUAUACAUCUUUUACACCAAUAUGCAUGGUCUGAAGCAUCAAUUUUGUUGUCAUAAUGGUGCUGAUUUAUCACACCAUAUAAGUUUUAUCAUCAAAUGCAAAUGGAAAGGAGAUAUUAUAAAAUCUAUUAUGUUAUAUAGAAUUAAGAAGUAUUUUUAAUCUAUGCUGUCAUCAGUGGUUUUCUCAUGCAAAUGAUAUUAGUUCAAGUGCAACAUACAGUUUGUUUUGUCAUAUACUUCUAAAAUGAAAAAUGAGAGAGAAGGUUCUGCAGUCCUAUUUCAUUAUAUAUCAUGCUAAAAAUUGUAGCUUGAGUAAGAGAAAAAUUGGUCUUAGAUUAAUACUAUUUAAGAUGGCAAGAUGAUUUGUCUAACGACAUACAUGAUUCAUUUGAACCUUAAAUAAGUGAAUUUACAUUGCUUCUUUAGUUUUUGCUCAUUCUUCAGUGUUUGCUUUUCUUUUAAUUUAUCUAAUUAGAUGUUAUUUUCUUUUUCAUGUUCAUCUACAGCCAAAAUACCUGCAGAGGUUCAUUAACUAAGAAUAAAAACUCUCUGACCUUCGUAUUUUAAAUAUGCUUACUAGCUGAAUUUUUUUAGUUUGGGAAACAGAUGGAGACAGGCUCAAGCAUAGUCACUGGAACUCGUUAUGUUAGAGGGGGCGGUUUGCAUGGAUCGAAUCUUAUGAGUAAAUUGACAAGCAGAAGGGUAAAUAUUUUUGU
rnacentral:lncRNA from 1 species